GAGCGGGACACUUCGGUGUUCAGCGGCGGACGGGUGAGUAACACGUGGGUAACCUGCCUGAUAGACCGGGAUAACGCUUGGAAACGAGUGCUAAUACCGGAUAGGCUCUUGAAGCGCAUGCUUUGAGAGGGAAAGAGGCUUUCGCCUCACUGUCAGAUGGACCCGCGGCGCAUUAGCUAGUUGGUGAGGUAACGGCUCACCAAGGCGACGAUGCGUAGCCGACCUGAGAGGGUGACCGGCCACACUGGGACUGAGACACGGCCCAGACUCCUACGGGAGGCAGCAGUAGGGAAUCUUCCGCAAUGGGCGCAACCCUGACGGAGCAACGCCGCGUGCAGGAAGACGGCCUUACGGGUUGUAAACUGCUUUUCGCAAGGACGAGUCACGGACGGUACUUGCGGAAUCAGCCCCGGCUAACUACGUGCCAGCAGCCGCGGUAAU
rnacentral:rRNA from 1 species